GAUGAACGCUGGCGGCGUGCCUAAUACAUGCAAGUCGAGCGAACAGACGAGGAGCUUGCUCCUCUGACGUUAGCGGCGGACGGGUGAGUAACACGUGGAUAACCUACCUAUAAGACUGGGAUAACUUCGGGAAACCGGAGCUAAUACCGGAUAAUAUAUUGAACCGCAUGGUUCAAUAGUGAAAGACGGUUUUGCUGUCACUUAUAGAUGGAUCCGCGCCGCAUUAGCUAGUUGGUAAGGUAACGGCUUACCAAGGCAACGAUGCGUAGCCGACCUGAGAGGGGGAGAGGGCACACAGGGGAGCGGACACGCGGCAGAACCCCACGGGAGGCACGACGAAGGGAACUCCGGCACAGUGGAGAAGAGCAUGGGGGAAAAGCGGGGCGAGAGAGAAAAGUCUAUGGAGCGUAAAACACUGUGUUAUUGGGGAAGAAAAAGUGUAAAGAACUCUACGCGCUUGUAGGGUACCUAAUCAGAAAACCCCGCCUAAAUCCUG
rnacentral:rRNA from 1 species